rnacentral:rRNA from 1 species
CUUGCUUGGGGUACUCGAGUGGCGAACGGGUGAGUAAUACGUGGGUAACCUGCCCUCUUCUUUGGGAUAAGCCCCGGAAACGGGGUCUAAUACCGGAUAUUCUGCUUCUGCCGCAUGGUGGGGGUUGGAAAGGUUUUUCGGUGGGGGAUGGGCCCGCGGCCUAUCAGCUUGUUGGUGGGGUGAUGGCCUACCAAGGCUUCGACGGGUAGCCGGCCUGAGAGGGUGACCGGCCACAUUGGGACUGAGAUACGGCCCAGACUCCUACGGGAGGCAGCAGUC